rnacentral:rRNA from 1 species
ACUCCUGCGGGAGGCAGCAGUGGGGAAUAUUGCACAAUGGGCGCAAGCCUGAUGCAGCCAUGCCGCGUGUAUGAAGAAGGCCUUCGGGUUGUAAAGUACUUUCAGCGGGGAGGAAGGCGAUAAGGUUAAUAACCUUGUUGAUUGACGUUACCCGCAGAAGAAGCACCGGCUAACUCCGUGCCAGCAGCCGCGGUAAUACGGAGGGUGCAAGCGUUAAUCGGAAUUACUGGGCGUAAAGCGCACGCAGGCGGUCUGUCAAGUCGGAUGUGAAAUCCCCGGGCUCAACCUGGGAACUGCAUUCGAAACUGGCAGGCUAGAGUCUUGUAGAGGGGGGUAGAAUUCCAGGUGUAGCGGUGAAAUGCGUAGAGAUCUGGAGGAAUACCGGUGGCGAAGGCGGCCCCCUGGACAAAGACUGACGCUCAGGUGCGAAAGCGUGAGGAGCAAACAUGAUUAGAAACCCGUGUAGUCCCAU